rnacentral:rRNA from 1 species
CCCUUAGAGUUUGAUCCUGGCUCAGAUUGAACGCUGGCGGCAGGCCUAACACAUGCAAGUCGAGCGGUAGCACAGAGAGCUUGCUCUCGGGUGGCGAGCGGCGGACGGGUGAGUAAUGUCUGGGAAACUGCCUGAUGGAGGGGGAUAACUACUGGAAACGGUAGCUAAUACCGCAUAAUGUCGCAAGACCAAAGUGGGGGACCUUCGGGCCUCAUGCCAUCAGAUGUGCCCAGAUGGGAUUAGCUAGUAGGUGGGGUAACGGCUCACCUAGGCGACGAUCCCUAGCUGGUCUGAGAGGAUGACCAGCCACACUGGAACUGAGACACGGUCCAGACUCCUACGGGAGGCAGCAGUGGGGAAUAUUGCACAAUGGGCGCAAGCCUGAUGCAGCCAUGCCGCGUGUGUGAAGAAGGCCUUCGGGUUGUAAAGCACUUUCAGCGGGGAGGAAGGCGUUAAGGUUAAU